rnacentral:rRNA from 1 species
CCUACGGGGUGCUGCAGUGGGGAAUAUUGGACAAUGGGGGGAACCCUGAUCCAGCCAUGCCGCGUGUGUGAAGAAGGCCCUCGGGUUGUAAAGCACUUUCAGUGAGGAAGAACGCCUGGUGGUUAAUACCCAUCAGGAAAGACAUCACUCACAGAAGAAGCACCGGCUAACUCCGUGCCAGCAGCCGCGGUAAUACGGAGGGUGCGAGCGUUAAUCGGAAUUACUGGGCGUAAAGCGCGCGUAGGUGGCUUGAUAAGCCGGUUGUGAAAGCCCCGGGCUCAACCUGGGAACGGCAUCCGGAACUGUCAAGCUAGAGUGCAGGAGAGGAAGGUAGAAUUCCCGGUGUAGCGGUGAAAUGCGUAGAGAUCGGGAGGAAUACCAGUGGCGAAGGCGGCCUUCUGGACUGACACUGACACUGAGGUGCGAAAGCGUGGGUAGCAAACAGGAUUAGAUACCCUUGUAGUC